ACCAGGCACGGUGGCGCAUGCCUGUAGUCCCAUCUACUCAGGAGGCUGAGACUGGAGGAUCUCUUGAGUCCAGGAGUUUGGGGCUGUAGUGCGCUAUGCCGAUCGGGUGUCCGUACUAAGCUCGGCAUCAAUAUGGUGACCUCCUGGGAGCGAGGGACCACCAGGUUGCCUAAGGAAGGGUGAACUAGCCCAGGUCGGAAACAGAGCAGGUCAGAACUCCUGUGCUGAUCAGUAGUGGGAUCAUGCCUGUGAGUAGCCACUGCACUCCAGCCUGGGCAACAUAGCAAGACCCUGUCUCU
rnacentral:SRP_RNA from 1 species